rnacentral:rRNA from 1 species
GACGAACGCUGGCGGCGUGCUUAACACAUGCAAGUCGAACGGAAAGGCCCUGCUUGCAGGGUGCUCGAGUGGCGAACGGGUGAGUAACACGUGGGUGAUCUGCCCCUUACUUUGGGAUAAGCCUUGGAAACUGGGUCUAAUACUGGAUAGGACCAUGCUGUAGGUGGUGUGGUGGAAAGAAUAGUUUCGGUAAGGGGUGAGCUCGCGGCCUAUCAGCUUGUUGGUGGGGUAAUGGCCUACCAAGGCGUCGACGGGUAGCCGGCCUGAGAGGGUGGACGGCCACAUUGGGACUGAGAUACGGCCCAGACUCCUACGGGAGGCAGCAGUGGGGAAGAUUGCACAAUGGGGGCAAGACUGAUGCAGCGACGCCGCGUGGGGGGUGACGGCCUUCGGGUUGUAAACUCCUUUCAGCCAUGACGAAGCCCUUGUGGUGACGGUAGUGGUAGAAGAAGCACCGGCUAACUACGUG